UGAUCCUAGCUAGGGAGUUGUUAGGCCAAACUUAAAUGUCUCCAACUUCAUAGGACCUGUGAGAGUUUGUGCUUGAAUAGCCUUUAAAAACACUUCAAAGUGACUCUGACACAAUGUGGACUCCAUGGGGAACUCAAGCAGGAGGAAAGGUUAUGUUUAAAAAUUCUGCUGAUAACAAGGUAUAAGGUAUUACACCUGAGAGUUGCUGGAUUCCAAUGUGUUAGAACUGGCUUCACACCUAACUGCCCUUGUUAAGAAGCAAUUUUGAAGUGCUAAUGUUGUGCCAAGCAACUAGGCUGAACAUGAGGUCCCACCCACAUCCACUAGAGAGGAGGCACAUUUGUUCCUGGACUCUAUUGUCUUCAGUGCUUGUAUGCUCAAACAAAUACAACCAACCUCUAUGCAAACUGCCUUGUCAAAGGGAGCUAGGAAAUGGAUUAUUUCUAUUUCUCAUGUUCUCAGAUGAAUGUCUUCUUUCUUCCAACUAUGUGCAUGUUGGUCCCCUGCCUCCUUGUGACUACAAAUACUCCUCUCUACAUUGGAACCUGGAAUUGAAUAAUAUGCAAUGGAAUUGCCAAACAUCACUUGGACCUGUGCCCAGUAUUACCUCAAGAGUCUUCUGUAAUAUCUUUUUGAUGAUGGAGUCAGAAAUAAACCACUGGAACCUUGUGUAAAAGAAAGCUAAACUUUUCAGGCCACCAGUGAUUCAAUUUCACAAAAGCAUCUUUGGUAUUUGCAUAUACAGAUUGAAUUAUUUAUAAUUAACUUCCCAAAUCAUGUACUCCAACAGCCUUCUAAUUCCCUUGGUCUUCUGCCUCAUUGAAAAGUUCAGUCACAUUUGACAACUCCAAUCUGGCAUUUUAAAUGUGACAAGCCUAGCCACUACACUCAUUCUUCAAAUGACUUAGGCAAAGUGACACUCACUAAAACCUUCCACC
rnacentral:lncRNA from 1 species